CAGCCGCCGCGGUAAUACGUAGGUGGCAAGCGUUGUCCGGAAUUAUUGGGCGUAAAGGGCUCGCAGGCGGUUUCUUAAGUCUGAUGUGAAAGCCCCCGGCUCAACCGGGGAGGGUCAUUGGAAACUGGGAAACUUGAGUGCAGAAGAGGAGAGUGGAAUUCCACGUGUAGCGGUGAAAUGCGUAGAGAUGUGGAGGAACACCAGUGGCGAAGGCGACGCUCUGGUCUGUAACUGACGCUGAGGAGCGAAAGCGUGGGGAGCGAACAGGAUUAGAUACCCCAGUAGUCCCUGUCUCUUAUAC
rnacentral:rRNA from 1 species